rnacentral:sRNA from 1 species
UGAUACCAGGGUCAAAAGGUCAUGCGUUUCAUGCUUGCAUGAAAAAGCAUGACUUUGGGACCCGCAAAACAUGAGAGAGUAGCCCGAGCAGGGCGGAUUUCGAAUGUUUUUAGGAUUGCGGGAGCACAAAGUGCGUAGCAAUCCGCAGGUAUCA